ACUUGAUUAGCUCAGCUGGUUCAGGGCAUUCCGACUGAGCAGUCGGAAGUGGUCACUGGUUCGAACCCAGUAUCUCCCA
rnacentral:tRNA from 1 species